UAGGGAAUCUUCCACAAUGGACGCAAGUCUGAUGGAGCAACGCCGCGUGAGUGAAGAAGGUUUUCGGACCGUAAAGCUCUGUUGUUGGUGAAGAAGGAUAGAGGUAGUAACUGGCCCUUUAUUUGACGGUAAUCAACCAGAAAGUCACGGUUAACUACGUGCCAGCAGCCGCGGUAAUACGUAGGUGGCAAGCGUUGUCCGGAUUUAUUGGGCGUAAAGCGAGCGCAGGCGGAAGAAUAAGUCUGAUGUGAAAGCCCUCGGCUUAACCGAGGAAUUGCAUCGGAAACUGUUUUUCUUGAGUGCAGAAGAGGAGAGUAGAACUCCAUGUGUAGCGGUGGAAUGCGUAGAUAUAUGGAAGAAUACCAGUGGCGAAGGCGGCUCUCUGGUCUGCAACUGACGCUGAGGCUCGAAAGCAUGGGUAGCGAACAGGAUUAGAUACCCUGGUAGUCCAUGCCGUAAACGAUGAGUGCUAAGUGUUGGG
rnacentral:rRNA from 1 species